rnacentral:lncRNA from 1 species
GUGACAUCGGGCCAGCUGUAAACGAAUUGCUGAGGACCGUUUGGUGACCUUCAGAUUGUCACAGGACCUGGAACCGAGGCUUCCAAAGAUUGAAAAUACUGGAAAGGAAAAAGUGAAUGACUGGAGCAGUUUCAAGAAACGUACAGCUUUUGUGAUCCUGAACAGAAUGUACCAAAUGAUGUAGUCAUCAGGUGUGCAUGACUGGGGGUUUCUAAUUUCUCAUAAGUGGAAGUGUGGGUUGCUAGAUGGCUAUUGAUAAGGAGGGGAGGGAUUAUAGGAUGCAGAAUUCACAUCAUUGAUAGCAUUGUAGAACACUUAAAAAGUAAUUUUCCAAAAAAGUAGGCCAAUGAAAAGAGAUUUCCAUAAUGUACAAGAGGCAGCAUUGCACCUGCAUAUGCUAUAAGUCGAAUGUGCUAGACUCAAAAGGAGCAAGCAGAAAAUAACUUACUUGUUGUAAAAAUUACUGCUAUAUAGUAACACUUCCCUAUCUCUAGUUCUGCCAUGUUUAUUGAAGUAGUUGUCAUAGUUUUUUAGUUACUUUUAGGUAAAGCAAC